rnacentral:rRNA from 1 species
UACGUAGGGGGCAAGCGUUGUCCGGAUUUAUUGGGCGUAAAGAGCGUGUAGGCGGCUUGGUAGGUCUGCUGUGAAAUCCCGAGGCUCAACCUCGGGUCUGCAGUCGAUACGAGCAAACUAGAGUGUUGCAGGGGAGACUGGAAUUCCUGGUGUAGCGGUGAAAUGCGCAGAUAUCAGGAGGAACACCGGUGGCGAAGGCGGGUCUCUGGGCAACAACUGACGCUGAGGAGCGAAAGCGUGGGGAGCGAACAGG